GAUUUACAUUUGAGUGAGUGGCGAACUGGUGAGUAACACGUGGGAAACCUGCCCAGAAGCGGGGGAUAACACCUGGAAACAGAUGCUAAUACCGCAUAACAACUUGGACCGCAUGGUCCGAGUUUGAAAGAUGGCUUCGGCUAUCACUUUUGGAUGGUCCCGCGGCGUAUUAGCUAGAUGGUGAGGUAACGGCUCACCAUGGCAAUGAUACGUAGCCGACCUGAGAGGGUAAUCGGCCACAUUGGGACUGAGACACGGCCCAAACUCCUACGGGAGGCAGCAGUAGGGAAUCUUCCACAAUGGACGAAAGUCUGAUGGAGCAACGCCGCGUGAGUGAAGAAGGGUUUCGGCUCGUAAAACUCUGUUGUUAAAGAAGAACAUAUCUGAGAGUAACUGUUCAGGUAUUGACGGUAUUUAACCAGAAAGCCACGGCUAACUACGUGCCAGCAGCCGCGGUAAUACGUAGGUGGCAAGCGUUGUCCGGAUUUAUUGGGCGUAAAGCGAGCGCAGGCGGUUUUUUAAGUCUGAUGUGAAAGCCUUCGGCUCAACCGAAGAAGUGCAUCGGAAACUGGGAAACUUGAGUGCAGAAGAGGACAGU
rnacentral:rRNA from 2 species